CAAUACACGACUGUCAGGAAGUCAUUGCUCUCAGUUUGUUUUCCUUGAAGGUCUGAGUACUUUUCUUUGUCUUUGGCAUAUCACUUGUUGACCACUCUACUCACCAUGACAGUCAAGAGACUGCAGUCUUGUUGUUUAUUAUUCAUAAGUAUCUUCUGCUUUUCAGUGGAAAGCUGUGCUGAGCUGAAGUUCAUCAACCCAGAGAGUCUCACCUUCAACACUUUUGUCAACGGUUGGAUAAACGUCACAUUUCAACUGGACCUGGAGAAAUGUACAGAAGAUCAUCAGUAUACACUUAUGAUAGAAACGCAAAUCAAAAAUCAGAAUCCUGAUAUUCACUGUAAAAUAUUACAGUAUAAAACAUCUUGCAGUGUAACUGAACAAUCUCAUACUCUCUGUCACUGCGACCUGAAGGCUGCAACACUCUUCAAGAAGGUGGAUCGGCCUGGAGAAACGGUCCUUGUAUGGAGAUGGUUUGUGUCCAACUCGUCGAAAGGAGAACAGAAACAGAACGAGAAGAGUUUAACUUUUUACGUUGCUCCACCUGAAAGUAGCGACACCCUGAAGUUUAUUCUCGGCAGUGUGUGUGGCUUUCUCGUCGUCAUGAUUCUUGUCCUUGUCUGUAGACGACCAAAACCACGUUUCGCGGGUGAGUUUUCUGUGGUUGUCAUAGCAACUGUAUUUUCUGUUUUACUCUGCAUGUAGCAUAAAAGAGAUUGAAUACAACUACUCAUAUGCUUAUGCAUACUUAUCCAAAUAGAAAUGAUUUGUGUCAUUUAACAUUUCAUUAUUAAUAUAUACAUAUCACUUUGUUCUUUUUUCUUGAUUUAUUUUCCCUCUAUACUCUUUCAUGUUGCUUCGUUUGAAAUGUGCUUACUAAUAAAUGUAUUCCUGUUUAGGACACUAAAAUCAGCAUUCAUAGUGGUUAAUAUAUUCGUUUUUAUCUCUGGUUAUAACAUUUGAGCUAAAAAUUAACACUUAAGAGUUGUGCUUUAGUUUCUUUUUUGUUGGUUUUGAAGCCAUCCAAACUAGUGAAUAGCAAAUGGUCAGUCUUUUCUUCUUCUCUAGAACAAAAUACGAUGCGAUGUUGUGUGAUUACACAAUUGUGUGAUUGACAGCUUAAAUUUUUACAGUGUUGCAUCUAACAUAAAUUAUUUGCACCAAGAAUAAACACUGUUUCCACUCGGUCAACGGGGGAAGGGGGUCAGAUUCCUUGGGUUGGUUGACUGCUUGAAUGAUCUGUAGAACAUUUCAAGCAAUUGAAACAUUUUAAUAAUUGGGGGAAUAAUUAUCAAUAAUACUAAUAAUGACGCUGAUUGUCAGUCGCAGCUGACAAGAAGUCACUUAAGAUUUCAUUUAAUGGUCUCAAUAAUGGACACUACACAAUUUAGUGGCGUCCUCACAAUUUUCGCCGUUGAUUAUUGUUAUCCCAACAUCACAUCGUAUGGUUUUUGUCCUACCCGCGAUCCCCCUAUUACCCACAACCCUGGCAGGCAAUGUGUGGCAUCACUGUUUUCUCCAGUCCUUGUGUUACCAUUGCACGAUGUGGACCUUGAUCGCUGGAAUGAGGAUGGCACCCGGAGUGAUUUAUGUCUUGCACAUCGCGUACCUGAAACUUUCUCAACUCUACAUCUGGAGACUCUCCGUGAAAUAUGUAUUGUGAGUGUUAAUAAACAAAUGCGGAGGAUAAACAAUGUUUUCUAGUUACAGCCACGAAUCUUCAUUCUCCGUGGUACCAACUUUUGCAUUAUCUGAAUUAAAUCUGCAUUAAUCAAAAUAAACUCUCCAUCAACUGCGAAAGGAAAGCGAAACGCAAAGUUGGAAAGGACUUAAGGAGAGAUGGAGAUAUUAAGGCACAUCAUAAAACCGGUAUAGGAAAUAAUACUAUUAAAAUAACUACUGUAAGCCUCAAUGCUCAGUUAAAGAAGAAAACAUAACUGAAAACUGCAGUCACUUGCCCUUCCUUCCAACAUUCAUGAACGAUAAACCGAAUUAACUGUUGUUCUUUUCUCACCCGAAUCGCACCAACGGACACACAAACUUUGGUGAGUAAAUCUUUUACAUCAGUUUUAUCGUAGUUUCACUCCGAUAUAACGUAAAACUAUUUUUAUUCGAAAUUUGAAAGCAGCUAUCGUAAAUUUUAGUAUAUUUUUUUUUCGAAAUGCAAAUUUACAGAAUUGUCCUAAUUUACACAAAAUGUAACCGCUAUCAAAAAGCAUUACGUUCAAGUAAAAUUAUUGAAAAUAUUGUGAAGGCGAAAGAAAAAAAGUCAUUUAUUAUUGUAAAGAUCAUGAGGCUACUUCUCAUGAUUACAUCAAGUAUGUGCAUGCUUAGUCUCAAAACAUAAACUUGACACAUUGGAACUGCUGGUGUGGAACUCGUUGUCGAAAGUCCGACCCUGCAAUGAUUCUUGGACAACCUGAUGGACAGCAGUCAACAAGGUGAAUACAUACCUUCACUACUUUUGUGCUGUCAUCUUGGUGAAUUUAGUAUGAGCUAUGUAAACAAAGGAUAUAAGCUGAGUCUUCUUGGUGUUGUCUUUAUAUGAAUUAAACUUGUUGCUGUUGUAGAUACUUCUGUUGUCACAGACUCCACUAAUGGUCCUUAGCUUUUUACUAUACAUGUAAUGAAAAGUUGCUUUCAAAUAAAAUGGAUGUUCUUAUAGAAUCGGUUCUUGCUAACCAACAAAAUUUUUUUUUCUCCACAGGCGAAAUCAGUCUUUUAAGCACUUAUCGGGAAUUCGUUAAAAUAAUCCGUCAGUGAAUGGAUUAAUAUGACUUUCAAGCUGAACCAAGACAAAUACCAAAAAAAAAAAAAAAAACUUUCGUCAUCAUUGUAGUAAAAUAGAACAAGAGAAUCAAGUGAUAGUCUUUAGAAGUCAUCACCAUACAGAAGUUUGUUUGCUCAUAGAGAAUACUCAUGUCUCUGCAGGGAUUUAUUAAAACUCUCAAGAUUGUACCAGGGACAUUGAUAAAUGGAUGAAAGCAAUGGAAAUGAGCUGCUGUCGUGGAUGCAUCUCCAGGCUGAAGAUUUUUUUCUCCCUUCGUCACUUGAAACACCUAGCCACCUUCUUGUUAUCUCUUCUACUGACUCUUCUCAGAUGUUGAUGUCUUUCAACUGUAACCAAACACAUAUUAUAGCUUCUUUGUGUCAUUUAGUUAAUGUCGAGUGUAUGUCGUCAGGUGUCAAGGUAAGCGUACUUCCAUUCACAAAAUUUUUGUUUCAUUUAAAAAGAAAAGAUUCUAAGACAGCUUUUGAUAAAGGUAAACGUCGUUCUGUGACUUUUGUAUUAUUGUGCGACAGCAUGCAUGUACGUGUCUUUGUAUUCCUGGUUGUUCAUCAGACUAUUAUCUAAAGGGUAUGAUUGUAAUGCAUUUUGGCUCUUUUUAUUUUUAGUUUUUCUUGAGGUUCCUGGUAGUAAUCACUGGAUAACAGUUAUUUCUCAAUACAAUACAUUAAAGCCUUAAUCCUAUAAUAUUACAGUUAUUUUUGCUAUCACACAUUUUGUAUAGGAUAUGAAUACAUAUGAUAUUAGUUUCAAAGUUUCGAUUAGUAAUUCGGGGUUUUUUUCCUUUUCUUUUCUAUUUUUUUAAAUAGCACGUCAUCGAUGUUUGUGAUUUACACAAAAUAUAUGACUAUGACCUGUACCUCGUAAAUAAAUAACCCAAAAGUUACACCCCGUAAAAAUGUUUCUUGCGUGCUGUGGAAAAUAUAGCAAACUGUUACAAGUCAAAUACGUUUUUAAAUAACGAAAAUUUAAUUUAACUUCUUUAAAUGUAUUAUUAAUAAUUAUUUUUCAUUCCUACUUGUAAACAUCAAAUUAUGCAUUUAAAAUGCUGCAAAAUAGGAAGGACCAGCCUACACCAUGAUGUCACGAGCCAUGACUGAGUUUUUACCAUCUAGGUAAGUAACAUAUAUUUAGUAGCAUUGUAUUUAGUAUGAAUUAAAACAUUACUGAAACUAAGACUAAAAUAUCCUGAUUCAGGAUCAGUAACAACAGGGUCAGUAUGUAAGUGGGCUGCAGAUGUGAGAAAGACAGAGAGGGAACCAGAGAGAGGUUGGAAGCGGCUGAUCAGUCUCUUGAUCGAAAGCGAUGUUGCAAAGAAAGAAAUCCUUCUCAGAGCUUCGUUGCUCCGUAUUUCUUCAAGUUGUUAUAACGAAGAUAACUUUUUAAAACUAACCUUUCGUUUUUUGAAGGGGCAUGGGGGGCAUGCAUGCUACUGUCCCUUCAUGGUAUCUUGUUCCUGUAUUUCUUUAGCCUGAGGAAGUAUGUCACUCCUCUAGAAGUUUCUAACCUCUUAAGCCAUUGGGAUUUUUAAUCUCUCUAGUUCUAUUUAUCAGGCUAAGGAAAUCUUUAAGUGACGAUGUGACUUAUUUUGCAAGGUCAUGGGUCUGAUGUUAUACAAAAUAUACAAAAUAAUCAAUAGGUUUCAUUCACACUUUUCUAUAAAUGUUUCUUGGCUAUUGCUUAAAUGGAAUGAGCAAUACAACUCUACCAAGCAGGCAAUAAGAGAUAGCUAUAAUAUUCAACCAUUUUCUCCUCCCUUAACCUUGACAGAGAGGUAAAUAAGAGAUAUAAACAAAGCCAUCACUCAUAAAUAUCAAGAGCAAAAGGAAAAUUAAGAAAGUCCCAUGAGGAACUAUUAUUCACGCUUGAUUUUACAACAUCUGUCGCACGUGAGGUCAUAACUUCCGGUGUGGAAAAGUUUCGAUUCUGCGCGGACUCCAACUUUAGUUGACCUGAAGCUGCGCGGAGCUCAUGGCUGCCAUCUACCUCAGCCACUCUUGUGUUCUUAUUUUGAUGACUUUUAGUAUGAGCUACUCGCAUGAAAGUUGUGCUGAGCUGAAGUUCAUCAACCCAGAGAGUCUCUCCUUCAACACUUUUGUCAACGGCUGGACAAACGUCACAUUCCAACUGGACCUGGAGAAAUGUACAGAAGAUCUACAGUAUACUGUUGUCGUAGAAACACAAAUAAAAAAUCAGAAUCCCGAGAUUCACUGUAAAAUAAUACAUAACAAAACAUCCUGCAGCUUAACUGAUAGAUCCAAUAAUUCCUGUCACUGUGAACCGACGGUUACAAAUUUCUUCAAGAGAGCGGAGAAGCCUGGAGAAGUGGUGUAUGUAUGGAGAUGGUUUAUGUCCAACUCGUCGAAAGGAGAACAGAAACAGAACGAGAAGAGCUUAAAGUUCUACGCUGCUCUACCUGAAAAAAAAAGCAUCGACACCCUGAUGUUUAUUCUCGGCAGUGUGUGUGGCUUUCUCGUCGUCAUCGUUCUUGUCCUUGUUGUCUGUAGACGACUAAAACCAGGUUUCAGGGGUAAGUUUUCUGUGAUUGCCAUAGCAGCUGUAUUUUCUUUUUAACUCUCCAUGUAGCAUAAAACAGACUGCAUACAACUACUUGUAUGGCUAUGCAUACUUAUCUAACUAGAAAAAGAUUUCCUUAAUUUAAUAUUUCAUUAUUAAUAUUUAUCAUUUUAUUCUUUUAAUUAUUUUCUUUACUUUUUUCCUCUAUGUGUUCAUUUAUGCUGCUUCAUUUUACAUCCACUCAUUAAUACCUGUACUCCCGUCUCGGACACUAAAAUCAUAGUUUAUAGGGGUUAACAUAUUCCCUUUUAUCUCUGGUUGUAGCGUUUGAGGUAAAAAUUCUCAAUUAAGAGGUUCACUCAAGUUGUUUUUUUGUUUUUUUUGUUGGUUUGUUUUUGUUUGUUUUUGUUGUUUGUUUGUUUUGUUUUUUGUUGCUGUUGUUAUUGUUGCUGUUGUCUGUUUGUUUGUUUGUUUGUUUCUUUCUGUCUUUUUUUUAACCAGCCAAAAUAGUGAAUAGCAAAAAAUGGUCAGUGUUUUCUUCUUCCAUAGAAUAGUAUACAAUGUUGUGUGAGACAGAUUACAUAGUUACAGCAUUGAAUUUGAAGCUAAUUAUAAAGAAUAAACACUAUAUUUCCACUCGGAGCACAGAGGUAGGGGAUCAAAUUGCUUGGGCUGGUUGACUGGUUAAAUGAUUGGUAGAACAUUUCAAGCAUUGUGAAGUUUUAAGAAUUUAGGGGGAAAGCAUCAGUAAUACUAAUAAUGACACUAAUUCUCAGUCACAGCUGACAGAAUUGGACUUGAAAAUGCCAUUUAAUUAUCUCAAUAAUUUAUAAUACACAAGUUCUUGGCGUCCUUACAAUUUUUGCCGAUCAUUAUCCCAACAUCACAUUGUGUAGUUUUCUCCCUACCCGCGAUUCCCAUAUUACCCACAACCCUGUCGGGCAAUGUGUGGCAUCACUGUUUUCUCCAGUCCAUGUGUGUUACCGUUGCACGAUGUGGACCUUGAUUGCUGGAAUGAGGAUGACACCCGGAGUGAUUUAUGUCUUGCACAUCGCGUACCUGACACUUUCUCAACUUUGCAGCAUGUGGAGAUUGUCCUUGAAUGGUUUAUUCUGCGUGUUUAUCAACAAACGCGCAGGAUAAACAAUGUUUUCUAGUAAAAGCCACAAAAUGUUAUUCUCCGUGGUACAAACUUCAAAAUCUGCAUUAAUUCCAAAAACGGAAGCGAAAGAAAAUGUUUUAAGGAGUGAUGGAGAUAUUAAGGCACAUCAAAAGAGCUGGUCUAAGAAAUAACAUUAUUAAAAUAACUACUGUAAAGCCUCAAUGCUCAGCUGAAGAAGAAAACGUAACUGUGAAAACUGCAGUGUCCUCCCAUUCCCUCCAACAACAACGAAUUAGACCUACGGACAUACUCUGGUGAGUAAAUCUUUUAUAAGUUUUUAUCGUAGUUUGGCUCCGAUAUAAAGUAGAUAAGAUAGUAAAACUGUCUUCACAGGAACCACAUAGCAUCAUUUUUUUUUAUUAAUUUUGUUAUUUGCCGCUCGGGGGUACAUUUAACGAAUACCCAGCUGUACAUUAUGCAGAGAGUAUUGCUGUAUCCUGUACAGAGAUAAAAUAUAAUAUUUGGAAUGUAUUCCUUUGUAUACAUAUGCUUUCUUCCUUUCUAAAGUGAGUUCGAAGACGACAUCUGGUAGAAUUGUUUACCAAUCUGUUUGUUUGUAUGUUUGUGAUCUUUCGUGAGUGCCUACGUGAGUGUGUACAAGAGGUGGAGAAAGAAAAAGCUUCAGUGACCAUAUUUUUUUCCACAGUACCGAAGCUGAGUUUCAUCAGCUCUGUCACCAAGUCCCUGUACACUGAUGUCGAUAAACCAUACAAUUCAGCCAACCCUCUUGUUGUAGGAACGCUAAUGAAGAAUCCAACUCCAGAAAUUAUAGUAAAAUAAUGUAAAAAAAAAAUCUCACUGUUCACUCCAGCAGUAGAUAGUGUUGCUCGAAAUGGGAGGAUAGUCAUGUCAAGUUCUUGAAAAAGUUAGAGCAGCCUAAAGGUUCGUGCGUUCUUUUGUUUGAACACAAACUAACUCUGUCCCUUUCAGACCCUGUCUGAGUACAUACAUGUAUGUAAUACAUACUGAUGUAAUACUUUGGAAUAUUUUCAGACCCUAAUGUAAGACAUACAUCAGCUCCACUGUCCACACGGAACUUGAUUACACGGCUGCUAUGUUUAUGUGGUAAUGUGGCCAUUAAGUAUUGAAGGUAUUAGUACCAGGUGUUUUAAUAGGAAAGGUUUGGAAUCAAAGUUUGAAAAUUUUUUAAGUGAGUAGAGUUCUAGAGAGGAAUAUUAACAAAAAAUCUAAUAAACAUGGAAGAUAUACCAGGAAAUAUUUUAACAAGGUAAUGGAAGGAAUAACGAAUUUUAACUUGCGCAGGAAAUGUCCAAUUUCUUCCUUCGAAACAAAAAGAUAGAACGCAACCAUAUUCAGGAAGAAUAAGACUCACUCGAUGUACAGAAUUGCUGUCUCUUCAUUAUUCAAUAACAAGUGAAGACCGAUUGUACUGAAAGUCUAUACGGAAGUAAUAUUGCCCCCCAAGUCAUUUGUCCGUGAAGGAGGUAUCAGUUUCGAGAAUUAUUUCAUUUUGACACUAGUCUGUCACUUGUUGACCACUCUACACACCAUGACAGUCAAGAGACUGCAGUGUUUUUGCUUAAUCCUCAUCAGUAUCUUUUUCUCUCCCGUGGAAAGCUGUAAGUAUUAGUGCAAUUUUUAACUGUUCUUCUGCUUAUGUGUUACCUGUCCGUCGAUCGUUAUGUGUGUGUGUGCGCGCAAGCGUUUGCUCUCUUGCUAGGUGCAUAAAAAGGAGAAGGACACAAGUGAUGUUCCGAUGGUUUAGUGGGAAAUAAAUGUUAGCCUGCAUUCACGUAACCUAUCUACGCCUAUGUAGUCAGCGUCUGUUAUUUCCAUCGUCACAGGUGCUGAGCUGAGGUUCAUCAACCCAGAGAGUCUAUCCUUCAACACUUUUGUCAACGGUUGGAUAAACGUCACAUUCCAACUGGACCUGGAGAAAUGUACAGAAGAUCUACAGUAUACUGUUGUCAUAGAAACACAAAUCAAAAAUCAGAAUCCCGAGAUUCACUGUAAAAUAAUACAUAACAAAACAUCCUGCAGUUUAACUGAUAGAUCCAAUAUUUCCUGUCACUGUGAACCGACGGUUGCAAAUUUCUUCAAGAAGGUGGAGAAGCCUGGAGAAAUAGUGUAUGUAUGGAGAUGGUUUAUGUCCAACUCGUCGAAAGGAGAACAGAAACAAAACGAGAAGAGCUUAACGUUCUACGCUGCUCAACCUGAACAGAAACGCUAUGACAAUGUGAAGUUUAUUCUCGCGGGUGUGUGUGGCUUUCUCGUCAUCAUUGUUCUAGUCCUUCUUGUCUGUAGACGGCUAAAACCACGUUUAUCAGAUGUUAAUGGAGAUAUGAAACACGAGAAAACAAUUGAAAACCAGUCUACGAACCCGGAAACUCCAGCACCACCCGCCACUGGAGGUGAGAUGCUGGAGGCCGGUCCAGAGUAUGUCGUGAUCACGGAGGACAUGUACUGCGAGGCCUGGGACCAUGUCAAGCGAAGUCAGAUUCCUCCAGGAGCAGUGAGGGUCCUGGUUGACUCGGGCCCCCGGAGUUUCUCAAAAAAAUGAACAAGGAGAAACCCAACAAAGAAGAUGUGUUUGAAAAAUCAGCGGUCCCUCUACUGACCCAGACUCCUCCAACAAUUACUACAGUAUACAGGACACCAACUGACCACAAAUUCAGCGACAAACCAUGAGAACAGAUUAAUAAUUAGUUCUUUAUAACAAACACGUGACAAACGCGGUUCGUGUCAAAGGAAGACUGUUGUCAUAGACAUACACUAGACAAUUCAAUAACAGAAUAUUUUUCUUGGUUAAUGAUGCGGCCAGUUGAACUUUGCACCGAUCGCAGAUGGCAGAUGAUUCCAUGAACAGUGCAUGUCAGUCAAGGGGAAAAACCGAGGAAAUGGAUGUGGCUUCGCAUGGUUUAAGAUUUAUGCCCCUUUAUUUGGGCCAUGUCAUUUGUGUUUUAAUCGUGGCAGGAACACAAGAAAGGAAAGAAAGAGCUGUAUCAAAAAAAAAAGCUUAAAAAUUUGCAUUGUGCAACACAAAAGUAACCGACAUAAAUAGAUAAAGAAAAGAGGAAAGAAACAACAAAACUUAGUGAAAGGAAAAACAGCAAGAAGAACAGUAUAAGUUAAUGAAAGUGGAAAAGAAAGAAAGAGCGGAGAAUAGAGAAGAAAUUUUUAAAUGAGCGAAAUAACGAAUGAACACAAAAUCAAAGAAUAUGAGGAGUAUGAGACGUGAGAUGACAGAAAACGGGAAAAAUUAAAGUAGGAAAGGGUAAAAAAAAUUUUAUGUAAUGUUACAAAAACAUUCCAAAAGUAGAAAUUAAUGCUCUUCUCAACUUUCACUUUCAAUUUUGUUCCAGACUGUUGAGAUAUCUGAGAUUUUUAAAGGACAUUUUGUUUUAGUUUCACACAGGUAUUACCUAUAGCUGUUGUAUUAUUUGCAUUCCAAUUGCUUUUUUUAAAAAGUGGUAUCUUCGGUUCAGAUUUGCCCCCUUGUUACCUAAUAAAUAUUUGAAAAGUGGAAAGAGUUA
rnacentral:misc_RNA from 1 species